AUUGAACGCUGGCGGCAGGCCUAACACAUGCAAGUCGAGCGGAUGAAGGGAGCUUGCUCCUGGAUUCAGCGGCGGACGGGUGAGUAAUGCCUAGGAAUCUGCCUGGUAGUGGGGGAUAACGUCCGGAAACGGGCGCUAAUACCGCAUACGACCUGAGGGAGAAAGUGGGGGAUCUUCGGACCUCACGCUAUCAGAUGAGCCUAGGUCGGAUUAGCUAGUUGGUGGGGUAAAGGCCUACCAAGGCGACGAUCCGUAACUGGUCUGAGAGGAUGAUCAGUCACACUGGAACUGAGACACGGUCCAGACUCCUACGGGAGGCAGCAGUGGGGAAUAUUGGACAAUGGGCGAAAGCCUGAUCCAGCCAUGCCGCGUGUGUGAAGAAGUUCUUCGGAUUGUAAAGCACUUUAAGUUGGGAGGAAGGGCAGUAAGUUAAUACCUUGCUGUUUUGACGUUACCAACAGAAUAAGCACCGGCUAACUUCGUG
rnacentral:rRNA from 1 species